CACCACACAUACACACACACGCCGCACACACACACACACAUACCCUCUCGGUCCUCUCUCUCCCUCUUCGAUUCCGGCUAAAGUCCGGCGAGACCACGACGGCCGGCCACCACCUACGGUGGUCCGGCGACGACGACUCACGGCGGGGGAAAGGUUUCCGGCGAGUUUUCACGGCGGACUUGGGGUGUACCCCCCCUAAAUCGACCCUUCUGAGUACGUUUCCGGUGACGGUUUUCUCAUCGGAACAACGGAAGUGUUGUUUUCAUCUUUGGCAGCCACGUUGUUCGAGCCUCCUUCUCCGGUAAGCUCCUAACCUGGUCCUUCUCUUUCUUUUAGACCCCAUUCUUCUCCGAUUCGUGCUUUUGCAGGUACGACAGUGGAGAUGGUCGGGUCUGGUUUAAUCUUCGCUGGGAAUCGGGGUGGUCGGCUCUGCCGACGGCACGGGGUACGGCCGACAACAGCAACCGCACCAGCGACGACGGCGGUGAAGGCGGUGGUUAGUUCCUAUGUUUGGUUCUCGGGUCCGUUCGAGUCUCGGUUCAGUUUUUGACAAGCGAUUCUGGUGCAGGCUCGUUACAAUGGUGGUGACUCCGACUCGAGUGGUGGUUUGGUUCAGUUUAGGUCUUGGUGUAACUCGGUUCGGUUCCGACUCGAGUUGACCGGUCGAAGCUGGCCAACAGUUGUGUCGAGUCAUGUUCCGGUCCAGUUUUGAUGUUCGGUUCAGUGUUAUGGUUCAGUUUUGGUGUCUCGGGUCAAACUCGGUCGAUUCUGGUCAACUAUCGAGACGACACAAGCUUUGGGUGACCUCGGUGUUCCAUCCUCCUAAACUCGUCAACUCGUCGUACUUGGAUAAUCGGAAGAGACUUAGCAAUAUUGUGGGGAAUCUGUGAUGCACUUGUUCACCGGAUGUUUUUUUUGCGAGCGGUCUGUGGAUGGCUGUGGGGCAGUGGUGUGGAGUUGGGCCGGUCUUGGCUUUUGAUUUUAAGGAUAUUCUGGAAAUUCAAGAUUAUGUGCAAGGUGGUAAAUGGGCUAAAAAGAUCAUUAGAGGUAUAGUGUAUGUCUCCUGUUGGGUGAUAUGGAAAUUAAGGAAUGGGAAAGUGUUUCAAAUUUCUAACCCAAAGAUGAUUGAAGCGGUUGCGUUGGUUAAGUCCUGGUCUUUCUUAUGGUUAAAAUAUAGGUCGAAGUUUGGUAGUAUUGAGUGGAAAGAAUGGUCUCGUAAUCCGUUGUAUAUGUUGUAAGUGGUUUUUGUGGCGGUCCUUGCUUUGAGGGCUGGCCCGUGCUUUUUUAAUGAAAUUUUCUGUUCAAAAAAAAA